rnacentral:tRNA from 1 species
GCCUGGGUGGCUCAGUUGGUUGAGCAUCCGACUUUGGCUCAGGUCAUGAUCUCACAGUUUGUGGGUUUGAGCCCCACGUCGGGCU